AUGGCUCCCUCCUCCUCCUCCACCUCCGUGCUCCUCAUCCUCCUCCUCUCCGUCGUCCCGGCCAGCCUCGCCUCGACCCCGGUCUCCGAUGGGCUGGAGCUGGAGCUUGGAGGAGACGGCCUGUACAGGGAGAUUCUCAGGGACGAGACGGUGCUCAGGCUCAAGGAACUCGGCAAGAUAUCUGAUGGCGAAGGAUUCCUCGAAAGGACAUUCCUGAGUCCUGCUUCCUUCAGAGCCACUGAUGUCAUUAUCAGCUGGAUGAAAGAUGCCGGACUUACGACGUGGGUUGAUCAAAUGGGUAACAUUCAUGGUCGAUUUGAGCCCUCCAAUUCGACAGAUAAGGCUCUAUUGAUUGGAUCCCAUAUGGAUACUGUCAUUGAUGCUGGCAUGUAUGAUGGAGCUUUGGGUAUUAUAUGCGCAAUCUCUGCUCUGAAGGUCUUGAGAGUCACCGGAAAACUUCAAAGGCUCACUAGACCAGUAGAGGUGAUUGCAUUCAGCGACGAGGAGGGUGUUAGAUUUCAGACAACAUUUCUGGGAAGCGCCGCUGUAGCUGGUAUUCUACCUGAAUCAAUUUUGCAAGUAUCUGACAAGAGUGGCACUACAGUUCAAGAAGUUCUUCGGCUGAACUCCUUCGAGGCUAGCGCUGAUGCUCUUGGUCAAGUCAAGUACAGCCCAGAGUCCGUGGGGAGCUAUGUUGAGGUUCACUUGGAACAAGGGCCUGUCCUGGAAGCCCUCCGCUAUCCCCUUGGAGUCGUAAAAGGAAUCGCAGGGCAGACGCGAUUGAAGGUAAUAGUAGACGGUUCCCAAGGGCAUGCUGGGACGGUUCCAAUGAAAUUGCGCCGUGAUCCGAUGGUUGCAGCUGCAGAGCUGGUGGUGACACUGGAGGGCCUGUGCAAAGACCCGAGCAGGUUCCUGACCUACGACGAGGAGUGCGGCUGCUUCACCGAGGAGUCCCUCGCCGGCCUCGUCUGCACCGUCGGCGAGCUGCUCACGUGGCCCAGCGCCAGCAAUGUCAUUCCAGGGCAGGUGAAUUUCACGGUGGACAUACGGGCCAUGGACGACCUGGUGCGGGAGACGAUCGUGGCGAGCUUCUCGCGGAUCGUCAUGCAGCGGUGCGACCACCGGCUGGUCGACUGCGCCGUCGAGCACAAGCACUCGGCGGCGGCCACGCCGUGCGACCCGGAGCUGACGGCCCAGCUGAAGCGCGCGACGCGGUCGGCCGUGUCGGCGAUGGCGCCCGGCGGCCACGGCCACGGCCGUGCGGUGGGAGCCGGGGAGUCGACGGCGGCGACGCCAGUGCUGAUGAGCGGCGCGGGGCACGACGCGAUGGCGAUGGCGCGGCUGACGCGGGUGGGGAUGCUGUUCGUGCGGUGCCGCGGCGGGGUGAGCCACUCGCCGGAGGAGCACGUGGCGGAGGACGACGUGUGGGCCGCCGGGCUCGCGCUGCUCCGUUUCGUGGACCAGCACGCCGUCGCCGAGCUGUGA
rnacentral:rRNA from 1 species